rnacentral:rRNA from 1 species
CAUCGUUGCCCCAAUGCCAGCGCCUCGUGCUAGGCGUCGGGCGGGGCGAAUGUUGGCUUCCCGUGAGCAUCGUCUCACGGUUGGUUGAAAACUGAGUCCGUGGUGGAGUGCACCACGAUGGAUGGUGGUUGAGUAGAACCUCGAGACCGAUCGUGGGUGUCCCUCUGCCGGCUUAGGGACUCCUCGACCCACGGGCGUCGAAGGAACGCCAAAACGGGA